UACAGAGGUCUCAAGCGUUGUUCGGAUUUAUUGGGCGUAAAGGGCGCGUAGGCGGCGGGGUAAGUCGGGUGUGAAAUCUCAGAGCUCAACUCUGAAACUGCACUCGAUACUGCUUUGCUCGAGGACUGGAGAGGAGAUUGGAAUUCACGGUGUAGCAGUGAAAUGCGUAGAUAUUACCAGGAACACCAAUGGCGAAGGCAGCUUGCUGGGCCACUCCUGACACUGAGGUACGAAAGCGUGGGGAGCGAACAGG
rnacentral:rRNA from 1 species